ACUGGGGAAAAAUAAAAUUCUAAAUAAAAAAGAAAACUUCCUGCAGAAGGAUGGACUGUCCGAAGAUGCUGACCAAUGUAUGCAUGAGAAAAAACAGACAUCUGGAGGUGCAGAUCAAGUUGGAUACAAGCCAGUGCAAGGAUUUCAUUAUGGCAUUUGUUUCAUGUCAAGACCACUGAACUUAGAGGCAAAAAGACCUGCUUGAUACUCCCAACUCUGAUAUUCACUACAUUUUGUGAUGCUGGAUAUGACAUGGAAUAGAAUAGUCCAGUAGACCAGAAAUAGGAACCACUAGAGUUUACAG